CCUACGGGAGGCAGCAGUGGGGAAUUUUGGACAAUGGGCGAAAGCCUGAUCCAGCAAUGCCGCGUGCAGGAUGAAGGCCUUCGGGUUGUAAACUGCUUUUGUACGGAACGAAAAAGCUCCUUCUAAUACAAGGGGCCCAUGACGGUACCGUAAGAAUAAGCACCGGCUAACUACGUGCCAGCAGCCGCGGUAAUAAU
rnacentral:rRNA from 1 species